AAGACCUACUGGGGCGGGAAAGUUAGAACUAGAGAGGGUGCAGGGAGGAGAAGAAAAAAAAAAAAGGCAUUGUCUCUGGGCGGGGCAAAGAGGGACCAGCAACUAGAAUACGUGGAUUGGGAAACUGGGGCUGGGAGUAGGGACAAGAAAGGUUGCAGAAGGGAAAACACCCUGCACCUUAGUGGUGAUGUAGUUGGACGAGACAGUGUGUUCUGUGGGCAGAUUCCGUGCUAUUGAAUGGCGAAAUGAUACACUUGUCUAGCAAGGUUGCCCGCUAUCCUCUGGAUUAUUCCUUGAGGAGGAGGCUGUAUGGCCACAGGUGGAGAAUCCUUCCUCUUUAUCCACCCCAGGGGGAGAGAGCACGCAUGCAGAAGCAGGGGGAACAGCAGGCCCUGGGAGAAGCAGACGCCCCACUGAGCAAGGAGCUGGCUAUGGGACUUGAGCCCAGGACCUUGGAAUCAUGACCUGAGCUGAAGGCAGACGCUUAACCGACUGAGCCACCCAGGAGUCCCACGAGUGUGUAUAAAUACUGAAUAUAAACUGGAUAUAUAUGACAUCUAGGAUGAAAUGUAAUUGUUUAUGGCUUUAUAAGUAGUCAAAUAAUUUCAUGGCUUGUUUAGAAUUCUUACAUUUUUCCCUUUAAAAUAUCACAUUUUUUACAAUUGUGUAUGAUUUUCUAAUUUUUUAUAUCUUCUUUUAAAAUAAUAAAAUAGAGAUUUCAAAA